ACAUCUGCAACCGCACAUUUUGAGGUCAUAAGUCUUGGUUAGAGCACCUCAAUUGGCGAGUCUAAGUAA
rnacentral:sRNA from 1 species